GUAAUACUGUAUAAUCCCUGCGGGGGAAAGAUUUAUCGCUAUUAGAUGAGCCUACGUUAGAUUAGCUAGUUGGUAAGGUAAUAGCUUACCAAGGCUAUGAUCUAUAGCUGGUCUGAGAGGACGAUCAGCCACACUGGAACUGAGAUACGGUCCAGACUCCUACGGGAGGCAGCAGUGGGGAAUAUUGGACAAUGGGCGAAAGCCUGAUCCAGCUACGCCGCGUGAGUGAAGAAGGCCUUAGGGUUGUAAAGCUCUUUCAGUAGGGAAGAUAAUGACGGUAC
rnacentral:rRNA from 1 species